CAAGCGGACGUGUGCUUCUCUUAUAAAUAAAAAUUACUCUCGGCAAUGGAUAUCUUGGCUCUCGUAUUGAUGAAAAAACAUAGUGAAAUAUCAAUACUUGGUGUGAAUUGCAGAAUCUCGUGAACCAUUGACUCUUUGAACGCAAGUUGCGCCUGAAGCCAUUAGG
rnacentral:rRNA from 1 species